UUUCCGUAGGUGAACCUGCGGAAGGAUCAUUAAAAAAUUGGGUGACUGUAAUUUAGGUUAACCCAUUAAUAAUAUCCUACCCUUUGUGAAUUUGUUUGUUAUGUAAAAUUUUUUGUCUAUCCCUAAAGAAAGGUUGGAUAAGUGUAAUAGCUUAAAAAACUUUUUUUUAGGGAAUGGCUUAAAGACUUUUAUUUAAAAUUAAACUUUUUGUAUUCAUUUGUCUAAAAUUAAAUUUUUAAAUAAAUAAUUUAAAAACAACUUUUGACAAUGGAUCUCUUGGUUCUCGCAACGAUGAAGAACGCAGCAAAAUGCGAUAAGUAAUGUGAAUUGCAGAAUACGUGAAUCAUCAAAUCUUCGAACGCAUAUUGCACUUUUUUAGUUUACUAAAAAAGUAUGUCUGUUUGAGUAUCAGUAAAAUAUUCUCAUAAAAUCAUUUGAUUUUAUGGUUAUGAGUGUUUUACAACGAUAAACAAGUUGUUUCACUUUAAAUGGAUUUUAAUUGAAAUCGUCGGUUGGGAACGAUUUUAAUUUUUUUUAAAAAAUUGGAUAAAAUUUUCCCGUAAAAAGGAAUAAAGCUAUUUCAGUUUUUAGAAAUUUUAAUAGUUUCCAUACCGGUACAGUUAAAGGAAAUUUAUUUAUAAAUAACUUGAUCUCAAAUCAGAUAAGAGUACCCGCUGAACUUAAGCAUAUCAAUAAGCGGAGGAAAAGAAACUAACAAGGAUUCCCUUAGUAACGGCGAGUGAAGCGGGAAGAGCUCAAAUUUGAAAUCUUCAAGGUUCUACCUUGACGAAUUGUAGUUUAAAGAAGUGUUUUCUGUUAGAGGAGUGGCAAAAGUUCUUUGGAAUAGGACAUCAUAGAGGGUGAGAAUCCCGUAUUUGGUCAUUCUUUCUAGCUGUGUGAUACACUUUCAAAGAGUCGGAUUGUUUGGAAUGCAGUCCAAAAUGGGUGGUAAAUUUCAUCUAAAGCUAAAUAUUGGCGAGAGACCGAUAGCGAACAAGUACCGUGAGGAAAGAUGAAAAGAACUUUGAAAAGAGAGUUAAACAGUACGUGAAAUUGUCAAAAGGGAAGCGUUUGACACCAGUGUUGUUUUUCCGAAAAUCAAUUGUGCCUGGCUGGAUUUUGUAGGAGUUUGACCUUAUCAGCUUCUUCUGCUUUUUUCCGGUCUGUGCAAUGCACUUUUCGGUUAACAAGUCAACAUCAAU
rnacentral:misc_RNA from 1 species